CAGGUACGUGCCAAGACUUGCAGUCGAGCGAAUGGAUUAAGAAGCUUGCUCUUAUGAAGUUAGCGGCGGACGGGUGAGUAACACGUGGGUAACCUGCCCAUAAGACUGGGAUAACUCCGGGAAACCGGGGCUAAUACCGGAUAACAUUUUGCGCCGCAUGGCGCGAAAUUGAAAGGCGGCUUCGGCUGUCACUUAUGGAUGGACCCGCGUCGCAUUAGCUAGUUGGUGAGGUAACGGCUCACCAAGGCAACGAUGCGUAUCCGACCUGAGAGGGGGAUCGGCCACACUGGGACUGAGACACGGCCCAAACUCCUACGGGGGGGACCACUAGGGAAUCUUCCGCAAUGGACGAAAGUCUGACGGAGCAACGCCCCGUGAGUGAUGAAGGCUUUCGGGUCGUAAAACUCUGUUGUUAGGGAAGAACAAGUGCUAUGUGAAUAAGCUGCCACCUUGACGGAACCUAAACACAAACCCUCGGUUAACUACGUGCCAGCGGCCGCUGUUAUACGGAAGUGGCCAGCGUUAUCCGGAAUUAUUGCGCGUAUAGCGCGCGGAUGCCCACUUCUUAACUCUGAUGUGAAAGCCCACGUUUCAAACCGUCGAGCUCUUUUUGCAAAUCUGCUAGACUUGCGUGCAUAAGCGGCAAACGUGCAAAUUUCUCAUGCCCUAACGCUGUCUUUCACACUUCUUA
rnacentral:rRNA from 1 species